GACGGAGGAUGCAAGCGUUAUCCGGAAUGAUUGGGCGUAAAGCGUCCGCAGGUGGCAGUUCAAGUCUGCUGUCAAAGACCGGGGCUCAACCUCGGAAAGGCAGUGGAAACUGAACAGCUAGAGUAUGGUAGGGGCAAAGGGAAUUCCUGGUGUAGCGGUGAAAUGCGUAGAGAUCAGGAAGAACAUCGGUGGCGAAGGCGCUCUGCUGGACCAUAACUGACACUCAGAGACGAAAGCUAGGGGAGCGAAUGGG
rnacentral:rRNA from 1 species